UGCAUGGUAAAGUUACAAGCGGACGUUUCCCCCAAGCAUCUGGCCAGUUGUGGUGUCAUCCUUGACUGAGACAUCUUUCAUUUCCCAUUGGUGAGUGACGCCUUACUUCACGUAUGUUAACUACUGAUCGGUUUUUUGAAGGGUCACUGUUCAUUGAUCUCUUGCUGCUUCUUGAACCGGGUGACGCUCAGGGUGAUGUGUCUCAGGUUUACCACGUGGCAUAAAAUCUGGACCAUGACCCAGGGCACAGUUACAGACGUCCACAAAGACUUUCACUCCAACAUUGACUCACUCGGGGCCUUUGGGACCGCUCUCUCGGACGCCCGAGGCCGAUCUUCCGUGCUGCAAUCCUGCCCCAGUUCUGCUUCUUCCCUCUCUUCAAGGCCACCGCCCCAGAGACUCACCUUUGGUGCUCCCUUCAGCCACCCUCUGCAUGAAACAGCCAGGGGCCAGCCCUGCCUCCUGCCCUCCAGAGCUCCCGUUAGGGACCGAAGGCUUGCGCCCUCCCCGAAUCCCUAUGUUGAAGCCCCCACCUCCGUGUAAUGUUAUGUGGAGGGGGGAACCUUGGGAGGAAAUUAGGGUUGGAUGGGAUCAGGAGAGUGGGGCCGUCACGGUGGAUUUGGCCCUUUAAGAAGAGACGUGAGAUCUCACCCCUCCCCGUCCUCCUCGAGCACACAGAGAAGAGGCCAUCCAUCCAUUUGGCAAGCGUUCACCUCCAACAGGCUGUGCUGGCUCCUUGACCCUGAACUUCCAGCCUCCAGAAUUGUGAGACACAAAUGCCUGUUGUUUAGACCCCUCGGCCUGUGGGACUUUGUUACAGCCGUUCACACUGACUGGGACAGCCCUGAGCCCCAGUCCAUCGGUCGGGAGGGGGCAGUUCACUGAGGCUCCUGUCCUGGGAAGAAGCUUGCGUACGUGUUCCUCUGCUCUCCCUCCUCAGCCCCAUAGUGUCACCCCAGACACCCUUCCUGCCCCUCGGGAAGCCUGUUUCUCUCCGUUCCCAUGACCGGGGACUUCAUUCUGACCCACCCGGCCCACCUGGACUGUGCCCACACUCCCGGCCUCUGUCCUCCAGGCCCUACGAGGGGGACCCUUUAAAACCAGACAUCUCUGGGGCGCCUGGGUGGCACAGUCGGUUGAGCGUCCGACUUCAGCCAGGUCACGAUCUCGCGGUCCGUGAGUUCGAGCCCCGCGUCAGGCUCUGGGCUGAUGGCUCGGAGCCUGGAGCCUGUUUCCGAUUCUGUGUCUCCCUCUCUCUCUGCCCCUCCCCCGUCCAUGCUCUGUCUCUCUCUGUCCCAAAAAUAAAUAAACGUUGGAAAAAAAAAUUAAAAAAAAA
rnacentral:lncRNA from 1 species